GCUCAAAAUUUGAAAAAAAAUGUCAAAAAAUUAGGGGGACCGGCCUAUUCUAGGACUUCUAGAGAAAAAUAAUGAGGGGUGUCACGGGGUAUGACUAUAAAGGCCUUGUAGAGGAGAAACAGGCGCUUCUUUUGCGCUAGGUAUCGAAGGGCGCUAUGUUCAAAAAUCUGAAACUAGCGCUCAAAAUUUGAAAAAAAUGUCAAAAAAUUAGGGGGGUCGGCCUAUUCCAGGGCUUCUAGAGAAAAAUAAUGAGGGGUGUCACGG
rnacentral:lncRNA from 1 species